AUGGCCCACCGUCAUUCCACUCGAUGCAACCGCACAUCUGUCAUCGAUCUCCAGCAUCGCGAAUCGUGGCUUGAUCCGUUGUUCUCAUCCCACACCCUAUCGCGAGACCACUCCCUCCGCCGAACUCACUGUGAGACCGUCCUACACGCCGACCACUCGAACACCUUCGAUUCCCCUGUUCCAGCUGCAAACCGCCACGAUAUAGUAGAUCUGGCCACGCCUCUUCCUAGAUCCACCACCGAGAAAGUAUUUAUUUAUGGUGUCUUAGAUCAAUGUUGA